rnacentral:rRNA from 1 species
CUCGUAGGCGGCCAACUAAGUCAGACGUGAAAUCCCUCAGCUUAACUGGGGAACUGCGUCUGAUACUGGAUGGCUUGGAUUCGGGAGAGGAAUGCGGAAUUCCAGGUGUAGCGGUGAAAUGCGUAGAUAUCUGGAGGAACACCGGUGGCGAAGGCGGCAUUCUGGACCGAUAUUGACGCUGAGGAGCGAAAAGCCAGGGGAGCGAAACG